rnacentral:rRNA from 1 species
GAUGAACGCUGGCGGCGUGCUUAACACAUGCAAGUCGAACGGAAAGGCCCAAGCUUGCUUGGGUACUCGAGUGGCGAACGGGUGAGUAACACGUGGGUGAUCUGCCCUGCACUUCGGGAUAAGCCCGGGAAACUGGGGCUAAUACUGGAUAGGACCACCUCUUGGAUGUUGUGGUGGAAAGAUUUUUCGGGGUGGGGUGAGCUCGCGGCCUAUCAGCUUGUUGGUGGGGUGAUGGGCUACCAAGGCGUCGACGGGUAGCCGGGCUGAGAGGGUGUACGGCCACAUUGGGACUGAGGUACGGCCCAGACUCCUACGGGAGGCAGCAGGGGGGAAUAUUGCACCAUGGGCGCAAGGCUGAUGCAGCGACGCCGCGUGGGGGAUGGCGGCCUUCGGGUUGGAAACUCGUUUCGCUAGGGACGAAGCGUUUUGUGACGGUACCUGGAGAAGAAGCACCGGCUAACUACGUG